rnacentral:rRNA from 1 species
UACGUAGGUGACAAGCGUUGUCCGGAUUUACUGGGCGUAAAGCGCACGUAGGCGGAUCGUUAAGUGAGGGGUGAAAUCCCAGGGCUCAACCCCUGGAACUGCCUUUCAUACUGGCGAUCUUGAGUCCGGAAGAGGUGAGUGGAACUCCUAGUGUAGAGGUGGAAUUCGUAGAUAUUAGGAAGAACACCAGUGGCGAAGGCGGCUCACUGGUCCGGUACUGACGCUGAGGUGCGAAAGGCGUGGGGAGCAAACAGG